ensembl:lncRNA
GCGUCUUCCUUUAUAAAAUGAGUUGUAAUUUUUUAAGAGCGAGUAGAUGGACACAGUCAAAGUUGCAAUUGAUUUGAAAGGAAAUGGACAUUUUUGAGGAGAUGCCCGAGAGGGGAAAGACUUCAUUUUAAUCCCGUAUUCGCUUCACUGGUCUGGAACCUGAGCAGCUCUAUCGUCUAAGGUAAGAGGAAUUAAAUGUUUUUUUUUAAUGUUUAAUCUUAGCAUUCAAUGGAGAGAAUACCUAUGAAAGAGAAAGUGUGCAUAGGCUACUCAAAUCAUGCAUGAUUAACGCGCACACUCGCAGUGUGGAUUCAAUGAGGCCCAUAUUUAAAUAUAUCGUUAUAUGUAGGACAAAAAUAUUAAAUUACAUAACAAGUCAGCAUCACACAGAGAGCAACCUAAUUGGCACGAUAAGAUUGAAAAUAAAUUGAAUUGUGGAAACUUACGGACUCAAGGCGGCCGUCAGCUUCAGGCUGUGGUGACGGUUCGGGUAAAGAGGCAUCAGGUGGGACAGCCGUAGUGCUGGCCGCUGCAGGAGUGCUACAGCUGGCAAACACCGAAACACCAAAUGUUUCCUGUCCCAAAGACCGAGAAGAAGGCGUCGUACUCCAUCCGCUUGGUGGGCAUCCAGUCCUCAAAUACUGAAGUUCAUGUCCUCCAACGGUCCCACCUCAAUGACGUCAGUGUUCGCGGUUCACCGCUUGAGUAACUGAAAGAUUUGGGUGCGUUACAUUUGACGAAGAAGUGCAAGAAGAGCGGCUCAAUUUCUACGGUACCGCCUGUUAAUGCUUCAGGGAGCUGAUGAAUCUAAGAUGGAUACUUUUGACGAUGCCACUCUAUCGGUGUUGGAGGCUGCCAGUGUUGAUGAGGAGGCUUUGAAAGGCCUUAGCCGGGAUGACCUGAGGGAUCUUUUUCCUGGCCCAGAGAAUUUCCUCAAAAGAAAGAAACUUUGGAAUUUCAUCAGUGAAAAUUGUGAAAAUACCACGGACCAAGAUGCCAACAAUUGUGCCAUGCCACCAUGCCAGCCUCAAACCUCAACCCCCAUAUCUGCUGAGAAAAAAAUGAAAAUGCCAGACCCUCCAGAGUAUGUGGUGUACACAGAUUCAGAGUUAGACAUGGUGCGUAGUCAAUACUUUGCACUGCUCUGCAAUGGAAAGGAAAAAAAUUACAAACUGUCCAAGGAGCUAUGUUGCAGACUUGUAAGGAACACAAUAACCAGUAUGGUUGCUAUCCUGCGUGCUAGUCCCAUGGGGAAAGAAGUCAGUUACCCGUCAAAAUUGGAAAUAAGAGCCAUGUCACAGAAGAUUAUAGACUAUUACCCAAUGUUACGGGAUGAUGAUCCAAACAUGCCUUAUCUGACUAUCUACACCAAAAUGUACAAGCGACUCCAAAAUAUGAGAUCCCCACGGAAGAGGCAAGGCUCUGUACCACAAAGAGGAGUGGCAAAGACAGCUCUCUUCAGUGCAGACAACCAAGACAUGGAGACGGAUUGGACAGACACAAGCAACUCAAGUGAUAAUACCUUACUUCUUGAGAGCAAUGAUGACCUUACCGAGGACAACUCCAGUGAAGCAUUCCCAGCACAUCGACCCCCCUCUGUGCCAAGGAAGCCAAAGACCAAAACCUUCCUGCUGCCAUCCGCAUCAGCCUCAGGCUCCUCACUCAGGACUGUGAUCGCUUCACCAACCACGCCUGCAAAGGAUGAUGUUGUCGGCCAGGACAGUCUGAAAAUGCAGGCUAGGCACUACAAAACCUUGAGCAACAUGUACAAUAAGCCAAAUGCAAAACCCAAUCAAAGUGAUGUUGCUCAAGUUUUAGACCUUGAGUUUAAGGCCAGACGGGCUUUCAUUGAUGCAGAUGUUACAAGGGAAGAAGACCGACCUGCAAAAAUCUUUGAGGCAUAUCCAUGCUUUAGAGAUGUUCGAAAUGCAAUGGAUGAGCUGCGGCGCAUAGUAGGUGGCACCAACAGCAGAUACAUCGAGGAAGUGAAAGGAAGAUGGGCAGACUUUUGUGCCAAGGUGCAGUUCUAUGGUGUGUGGAAGAAAGCCCUGAAACCCCCCUUUCCAUUGGAUGUCCGUGGAGUGGAGUUCACGCUUGCCCUCUUCAAUGCACUCCCAUCCCUUUUCCCCUCACCAACUUCACCACCAAAGAAGCUUGGAAAUAGCUGUGAGGCACUUCUUCAUGUCCUGAAGUCAGGCGAAGACCCUGCCCUGUACCUGGAAAAGCAUCCUCUCUCCUCCCCAGUUCUGCUUUCUGAUGGCUCAACCACCAUUGUGGCUGUGGGUAAUGUACCUGUGACCACCCUCCCUCAGGAAGAUUUCUCAGACGGGAUGUUGGUGUUAAUGGCAUAUUACUACACUUUGCACUUAAGAUAUCCAAAAUGUGUUGCAACGCUCCUGUCAGUUAUUCAAACAGAGGUAAUUGGUGACACAAUCCACGAUCAAGAUGCCACUAGUGCUUACAGGAAAGCAAUGGCUGAUUGGAAGUCUUUCAUUGAGAAGUAGCUGAGUAUUUUGUCAUGCCAGUUCUUAUUGUUAGCUGUGAGUUCUUAUUGUUAGCUGUGCCUAAUAAUAGUUUUGUGUUGCACAAGCUUAUACAGUCACUGAGUUAUUACCUCAUUUAGGCCUGUAUUUAAAAUGAUAGUUAAGGAAAAAUCCAUAACUGAGGGCUGAGAAGUGUUUUUGUUUUUUGCCCUUUUGCUUUUAAUUUCUUUUAUUUUUAUGGAAAAGUAUUCAAAUGUCUAUAGCAAACUUGACUUGCUGAUGUUAAAUAAAUGUUGUCUUAAGCCAUGUUAUUUCUGCACCAUUAUUCUAAAAAAGGACAGGCUUUAGAUUUUAAGAUGCUCAAAGUAAGAAAACAAAAUGGGUAAUUGCUUAUAUUUAGUAUAUUUCACUUAUUUUGAGGCUGUAAAAGUUUAAAUUUAAGUAAUCUAGUCUUAAAAACAGCAUUUUAUGCUUAUAUUUAGUAUAUUUCACUUAUUUUGAGGCUGUAAAAGUUUAAAUUUAAGUAAUCUAGUCUUAAAAAC